CUGGCUUCCCGGUCCGAGGCAUCUCCGGCACCCCGGGGCACACCACCAACCCAGGAGCCCCUGCCACCCCCGCAGUCCCACCCUGCAGGUGGGCAUCUGCCGGACGGGGUUGGGGUUUGUCUCCAGCAAGGGCCAACCAGGUUGGGUUUGGAUGGACAUGGUUGGAGCUCGGCCACCAUGCACCUGCUGUCUGCUUUGCCGUUGCUGCCCCGUCCAGCCUGGCUCUCCACCUUUUGGUGCUGGCUAGGAAGAGUUGAGGUGGUGGAGGGGACGUGCUGACACACAGCAGGCACUUGGCAAGCCGGCGACCUGGCCUCCCAGCCCCACACUGGCCUGCCUGGCUCCCUCAGCUGCCCUCCGGCCUGCGCCUGGCCUCCCUCCUGCACCCGCUCCAGCUGGCCCGAGUUCCCUUGAAAGUGCAGGGCCAGGAGGGGACAUGGCAGCCAGGGAGGCAUGAUGGGGCCCAGCAGAGUCGACAGUCACUUCCAGAGUGGCGGGAGGCGCUCGCCCUCGGCAAAUGCCACUCGGGAUGGACUCAGUCUGGGGUUUGGGCAGAGUUUGAGUUGGAGAUCCGCAGAGCUGAGGCUAAGGUUGGUUUGGAGCCAGGGUCAGUCUGUGCCUGGGAUCAGAAGCCAGGCUCUGAUUGAGGUCAGAGGUCACCCCGUGGCUGGGAUGGGAACUCAUUCUGUGCCUGGGUCAGGGCUCAGGCUAUGGCUGGGAGCAGAGUUUAGUUUGUAGCUGGGAUCAGGGGUCAGUCUAUGCUUUUGACCAGGGCUCAGCUUAGUCUGGGAUCAAGGGUCAAUUUGGGCUGGUGAUGGGGGCUCAGUCUGUGACCAGGGUGAGGGGUCGACCUAUAGGUGGCCUCAGGGGUUAGUCUGCGGCUGGGGUAAGGACUUGGUGUAUGGCUGGGAUGAGGGUUCAGUGUGUGACUGGGAUCAGAGGCCAGCCUGUAGCUGGGAUUAGGGAUGAGUCCAUAGCUGGAGUAGACACGCAGACUGUGUCUGUCAAGACUUAAUCUGUAGCUCGGAUCAGGGCUCAGACUGUAGCUGAGAUUAAGGAUCAGACCAGGGCAGGGGCUGGAGUUCAACCUGGUCUGGACAGUCUCUGCCCCUGCCCCGGCCGCCCAUUUUUCCCCAGCUGUCCUGGGUCAAGUUGCUGCAGCUGAACUUUGCUUCCUCUUUGGAUCAGAGCGUUCUUGGCCAGCACCCAGCAGCUGAUUCCCCAGGGGAGAGGCCCCGUUCCCGCCAGCCACAUUCCCACGCCGGCCUGGGAGGCUGCCAGAGAGUGGCUGGGUGUCGGGGGCUGCCUCCCAGGGGACCUGCCUCUCACCCUGCCCAGCUCUGAGGACAGCACGAGAUUCCUGCAGAUGGAGCUCCUAACCUGUCGCCCUGCAGGCACUGUGUGUUUGGACAGCUGGAAGCAGAGCUCGGCCUGUGACCUGCCUGGUCCAGCAACUGGACCUUCUGGAGAGUCACAGUGAGACACACAGCCACAUCCUGUAAAUGAAGACCUCGUGGCUCAGAGAGGUCAGUAAGCCAGAGAAAAGAAAAUGCCAUUCGGAAAAUCCUAAGGAAGAGAGGAUGCAUUUCCUCGUCUCCACGUGGAAGCGGAUCACCCUAAAGGUCUUCAUCCUGGUCUUUUUCAUGCUGAGGAGGCUGGGGAGGAGAAGGAAGAGGAGGGGCUGGUCUUGCUGACCCAGGAGCAGCAGAGAAAGGAGAAAAUCCACGUGCAGGGGCUGGCCAGCGCUGGGCUUCUCGGGAAUGGAAUCACACACGGACUGUGGCGUACACAUCACAACUUUAAACCCCGUCCGUACUGAAGCCUGCGUCCGAAUUUCUUCUGUUUUUGUGGCGGAAGGAUAAAUAUUCCAUUGUACAGACGGUCUACCCGGUUCAUCCGUCACCCACCCAUGGGCACCCGGGCCGUUUCCACCCUUAGUGAAGGAAGCCGCACGGGUGUUUGUGCGGACAGGAGCUUCCGUUUAUCUUGGGCGCACACCUAGGGGUGGAGUUGCUGGGUCUCGUGGUGACUGGUUGUUUCGGGAGCUGCCGGCAGGUGACCCAGCAGCUGGGCCGGUCCACAUUCCGUCCAGCAGCGUGCGAGUCUCUGAUCUUGGCGCCCACACCCCUGGCUGGCUCUCUCCUCCCUCCGACUUCGCAGCCACACCGGAGGCAGGUGGCAAUGAACUCAAGGUGUGCGGUCCCUCCCUCGGCGCCCAAGCCCCACACUGGGCCUGCCCUGGGCAUGAGUUGGCCAUUGGACCUGAGGCUGGAGAACCUGCCUGGGACAGAACAAAAUUCAAGUGUGAAGUUCUGGAAGGUUCUGGAGGGUUCCAGAGGCCUCCUGGAGCUCCCUGGGUCCCCUGGACUCCACAUGAGUGGCCACCCAGCCUGUGGUCUACGGCUGCCUAGGUUCACCCCCUUGGUCCCCCAGACACACACAGGGCAGCCCUUGUGUUCCUGGGGCCGCUGGUCCUGCAGCGUGAGCUGCCACCUGUAGGGAUCCCUCCCUGCCUGCCCACACCUGCCCCCCACGGCCGCCCCCCCUGCCUGGCCGCACCUGCCCCCCACGGCCG
rnacentral:lncRNA from 1 species